rnacentral:rRNA from 1 species
ACCCCACUAUCAACCCAACCCCCCCUAGCCUACAGUCUAUAUACCGCCGUCGCCAGCCUACCUUAUGAAAGAAACAAAGUGAGCUAAAUAGUCAUACACUAACACGACAGGUCGAGGUGUAACUUAUGGGUGGGCCUAAGAUGGGCUACAUUUUCUAACCCAGAAAAUACGAAUAAACCAUGAAAUAAGGAAACUGAAGGCGGAUUUAGCAGUAUACUAAGAACAAAAUACUUAGUCGAAACCAACGCAAUGAGGUGCGUACACACCGCCCGUCAUCCCUGUCAACCAACCAAAAACAUUCAUAAUUAAACACUAACCCAAAACAGGGCAAGUCGUAACAAGGUAAGCGUACUGGAAAGUGCGCUUAGAAACAAAAAGUAGCUUACAAAAAGCAUUCGACCUACAAUCGAACGACAUUAUAUUAAUCUUUUUGAGCUAAAACUUAGACUAACACGAACAUACAAAUUUUAGCCAAA